rnacentral:lncRNA from 1 species
CGUCUACGUCAUUCUCUUUAGAGGGCUUCGUCGCUGUUGGACGGCUGUCAGGAUAAUUUACCCCAGUAACCGUCUGCAAGUUUCAUUCUACCGGAGAUUCCGACUGUGUUGGGGAGUUAUGGGGUGGAGUAUCUAUAUGACCAGACAGGCAGGGCGCUGGACGACUACAAGUGCACACUGGAUGUAAGGAGAUAGACACCAGCUGAGGAUGUGGCUGAGGAUGAGGGCUACGCUUUGCUGGAGCCAGAGGAGUUUGAGGACAUCACUGUCCCCUUGCUGGAUGCUCCUCCACUCACUGGUUCAUCUGCCACAGCUCCUCCACUCACCACAGGCAAGUCUCCUGCUCCUGCUUCCCCUUCUGGUCGUGCUUGCCCAGACGAUUCCUCUGCUGGGACCUCUCCACUUAGCACAGACGCAUCUGCUGCUGUGUCUGCAUCUGAUGUGUUUUGUCGGCUUCCAUGGGCAGCGAGAGCAGAUGGACUCGGUCGUCCAUGAAAACUCUGCAAGUCCGGACGCUUCAAUUGUCUCUACGAAUGUGACCUGGAUGACUGAGACUCUUCAUCAGCAUACACCAGUGUGGCUGAGACCACCAUCCAGCUGCCUGAGGUGAGCGCAGCAAUGCUGGCAUGACGGUGAGUAAAUCAUGAAGUAUGUGAUGUGUUUGUGGAAUACAUUGCUUCUUUAAAACUACUGUUUUGUUGUUGUUGUUUUUUUUUUUAGGAACAACAAGCGGAGCCGAGCUCGGGAGACCAAGGUGCUUCACCAAACCGUUGAUCCACACCUCAGAGAGAAGGUUUCUUGACCAUGGCUGCAGGGGAAACCUGCACAGCUUUACCCUGCCAGCCAAUACAGCAGACACGGCCAGAUUUAAAAGGCAGCGUCCUGCCACCAGCGCAGCAUCUUUGCUGCAGUGUAUUUAUUAGUGAUUUUGUAAAUGAACAAAUUAUUUUAGUAUCAGUUUCUCUCUCUGUGUAAUUCAGUUAAUAACAAUAAUGUUCAGGUAGUUGUGCAUGUUAAGGCUCAUAGAAUGACAGAACAAUAGGUCUGCCAGACAGUACUGUUCGACUAUACACAUUUCAUGUGUCGAGCUGUUGAUCCACACCAAGCCCCAGUUGCAUCCCUCCUAUCCACAGCCUGGAAGCCCCAACAAUUGUCUUAACUGUAUAUUUUUCCUCUAUUUUGUUUUGGAAAUUGUUUUCAAUAAAUUGCAUCUGAAAUGGGAACCUUGUGUCCCG